GCCAGCAUGGUGUAAUGGUUCAAACAUUGGAUUACAACUCUGGACUCUGGAGACAAGGGUUCAAAUCCCCGCUCUGCCA